GACGAACGCUGGCGGCGUGCCUAAUACAUGCAAGUAGGACGCAGUUGCGAACGGGUGAGUAACGCGUAGGUAACUACCUAUUAGAGGGGGAUAAAUCUUGGAAACGAUAGCUAAUACCGCAUACUAGUAGAUGGACCUACGUUGUAUUAGCUAGUAGGUAGGGUAAUGGCCUACCCAGGCAACCAUACAUAGCCGACCCUGGGAGGGGAUCGACCCCACCUGGACUGGGAAAAGGGCCAGACUCCUACGGGAGGCAGCAGGUGGGAAUUUUUGGGCAUGGGGGGAACCCUGGCCGGGCAAAGCCGCGGGAGUUAAGAAAGUUUUCGGGUCGUAAAGCGCUGGUGUUAAGGAAGCGGUACUUAACCAGAAAGGGACGGCUAACUACGUGCCAGCAGCCGCGGUAAUUC
rnacentral:rRNA from 1 species